rnacentral:rRNA from 1 species
UACGAAGGGGGCGAGCGUUGUUCGGAAUUACUGGGCGUAAAGGGCGCGUAGGCGGCCGAUCAAGUCAGAUGUGAAAGUCCUGGGCUUAACCUGGGGACUGCAUUUGAUACUGAUUGGCUUGAAUGCAGGAGAGGAUAGCGGAAUUCCCAGUGUAGAGGUGAAAUUCGUAGAUAUUGGGAAGAACACCGGUGACGAAGGCGGCUAUCUGGACUGUGAUUGACGCU